rnacentral:rRNA from 1 species
GAUGAACGCUGGCGGCGUGCUUAACACAUGCAAGUCGAACGGAAAGGCCCUGCUUUUGUGGGGUGCUCGAGUGGCGAACGGGUGAGUAACACGUGAGUAAACUGCCCUUGACUUUGGGAUAACUUCAGGAAACUGGGGCUAAUACCGGAUAGCAGCUCCUGCUGCAUGGUGUGGGUUGGAAAGUUUCGGCGGUUGGGGAUGGACUCGCGGCGUAUUAGCUUGUUGGUGGGGUUGUGGCUUACCAAGGCUUUGACGGGUAGCCGGCCUGAGAGGGUGACCGGCCAAAUUGGGCCUGAGAUACGGCCCAGACCACAACGGGAGGGAGCAGUGGGGAAUAUUGCACAAUGAGCGGAAGCCUGAUGCAGCAACGCCGCGUGCGGUAUGACGGCCUUCGGGUUGUAAUCCGAAUUCGCCUGUGACGAAGCGUGAGUGACGGUAAUGUGUAAAGAAGCACCGGCUAACUACGUG